rnacentral:rRNA from 1 species
AUGCAAGUCGAGCGGUAGCAGGACCUGUAGCAAUACAGGUUGCUGACGAGCGGCGGACGGGUGAGGAAUACGUAGGAACUUGCCCUUCAGUGGGGGAUAACCAAGGGAAACUUUGGCUAAUACCGCAUAAUCUCGGGAGAGUAAAGCUGCCGCAAGGUGGUGCUGAAGGAGAGGCCUGCGUCCGAUUAGCUAGUUGGUGAGGUAAGAGCUCACCAAGGCGAUGAUCGGUAACUGGUCUGAGAGGACGACCAGUCACACUGGGACUGAGGCACGGCCCAGCCUCCUACGGGAGGCAGCAGUGGGGAAUAUUGGACAAUGGGGGCAACCCUGGUCCAGCGAUGCCGCGUGAGUGAAGAAGGCCCUCGGGUCGUAAAGCUCUUUAGGUUGGGAAGAAGGUUAUUGGAGGAAAUGCUAGUAACUUGACGGUACCGACAGAAUAAGCACCGGCAAACUCUGUGCCAGCCGCCGCCGUAA